rnacentral:lncRNA from 1 species
GCGACAGACAAGGUGGCAAAAAAGCUGAGUUCUACUCUCUCAUGGGUGAAGAACACAGUAUCGCACACAGUCAGUCAGAUGGCCAGUCAGGUGGCAAGUCCAUCUGCCUCACUACACACUACAUCCUCAUCUACCACACUGUCAACACCAACACAGUCACCAUCUUCCCCAUCAAAGUUGAGUCCAGACGACUUAGAACUCCUGGCUAAGCUGGAGGAACAAAACAGAUUAAUAGAGACAGACAGUAAGUCUUUAAGAUCAGUGAAUGGGUCAAGAAGAAACGGUGGUUCCUCUCUUGUAUCAAGUUCAUCAGCCUCCAGCAACCUCAGCCACCUGAAAGAA